rnacentral:rRNA from 1 species
AGAGCGAACGCUGGCGGCAGGCUUAACACAUGCAAGUCGAGCGGGCGUAGCAAUACGUCAGCGGCAGACGGGUGAGUAACGCGUGGGAACGUACCUUUGGUUCGGAACAACACAGGGAAACUUGUGCUAAUACCGGAUAAGCCCUUACGGGGAAAGAUUUAUCGCCGAAAGAUCGGCCCGCGUCUGAUUAGCUAGUUGGUGAGGUAACGGCUCACCAAGGCGACGAUCAGUAGCUGGUCUGAGAGGAUGAUCAGCCACAUUGGGACUGAGACACGGCCCAAACUCCUACGGGAGGCAGCAGUGGGGAAUAUUGGACAAUGGGCGCAAGCCUGAUCCAGCCAUGCCGCGUGAGUGAUGAAGGCCCUAGGGUUGUAAAGCUCUUUUGUGCGGGAAGAUAAUGACGGUACCGCAAGAAUAAGCCCGGCUAACUUCGCGCCAGCAGCCGC